rnacentral:rRNA from 1 species
CCUACGGGGGGUGCAGUAGGGAAUAUUGGACAAUGGGCGCAAGCCUGAUCCAGCCAUCCCGCGUGAAGGAUUAAGGCCCUCUGGGUUGUAAACUUCUUUUCUUUGGGAAUAAAAACUCCGAUUCAUCGGAGCUUGAAGGUACCAGAGGAAUAAGCACCGGCUAACUCCGUGCCAGCAGCCGCGGUCAUACGGAGGGUGCAAGCGUUAUCCGGAUUCACUGGGUUUAAAGGGUGCUUUGGAGGCGAGGUAAGAAAGCCCGGAGCUCAACUCCGGAACUGCCAUUGAUACUGCUUAGCUUGAAUCAGGUCGAGGUGGAUGGAAUAUUACAUGUAGCGGUGAAAUGCUUAGAUAUGUAAUAGAACACCGAUUGCGAAGGCAGUUCACUAGGCCUGUAUUGACACUGAGGCACGAAAGCGUGGGGAUCAAACAGGAUUAGAUACCCCUGUAGUC